AGCCUUGCCGCUUGGCAAAAAAUAACAAGCAGUAACGGGUGUCGGUAGGCCGGUAACGGUUCGAAGGCUCCCAAUUAAGCAAAGCAGACCC
rnacentral:ncRNA from 1 species